ACCUGAAGUCAAGCAAGAUCACCCGCUGAACUUAAGCAUAUCAGUAAGCGGAGGAAAAGAAACUAACAAGGAUUGCCUUAGUAGCGGCGAGUGAACCGGCAAAAGCUCAAAGUGAAAAUCUGUGGCGGACAAAGUUACAGAAUUGUAAUCUAGAGAAUUUCACGAAAGGUGACGCUCUCGCACAAAGGCUUGAAACAGCCUAUCAUAGAGGGUGAAAAUCCCGUAUAUGGCGAAGGGCGUGCUGGCCGUGGAGUUUCGAAGAGUCGGGUUGUUUGGGACUGCAGCCCUAAAUGGGAGAUAAACUUCUUCUAAAGCUAAAUAUUUAUGGGAGACCGAUAGCGAACAAGUACUCCGAGGGAAAGAUGAAAAGAACUUUGAAAAGAGGGUUAAAAGACUUGAAAUCGUUGAGAAGGAACUGGUAGAAGAGUAUUAUUUGGGUGGGACGUUUGUUGUGAGAGCACCGGUCUGGGUGGCGUGUAGUUCGUUAAAGGCUUGCGCUAUUCAUGAUAACGGGGAUCUGCGACUUUUUCCUGCUCUGAAGACAAAAUGAGGUCUCGGCUAUCGGAAACACUAAUAGGAACGCCCCCUGGCAACAGGAAGUCCUGUCAGAACACGGUAGCGUAAGGCCUGAGGGUCCGAAAGGAGAUUUUGUCAAAAUGGCUUCUACUGACCCGUCUUGUAACACGGACCAAGGAGUCUAAC
rnacentral:rRNA from 1 species